CCCAGACUGGGCACGGUUCGUUCAAAGCAAGGUGGAGAAGUGGGGGGCAUUUGCGAACGACUGGGUCACUGGGGCCAGAAAUCUCCACAUUGUACACUUCGAGAACAUGCAGGUGAAUCCGAAAGACGAGUUGCUGAAGAUCCUGCAGUUCCUCCACCUGAGAGUCGACCCUCUUCGUCUCAAGUGCGUCUUGGCCAAUUUGAACGGCGCCUUCAGGAGAGUCACCCCGGAAAAUACCUUCUACAGAAAAAAGGACCCAUUCACUCCGGAACUCCACGCAGCUGUCGAAAAGCACAUAAGGGACGUGAACGACGCCCUCAUACAGCGUGGAUGGCCGCCUCUGCCGACGCAUCUCUACAACUAUCACGUCGAAGUAGAAGACCCCUUGAACUCCGCGCAAAACGACCAAGAGGAAGA